AAGCGCUAUUUGGAGUCAGUUUGCGAAUCACCUUCCGAUGCUUCAGACAAUCUUUACAGGUUGAUGGUGGCUGUUGAUAAAUUCCGGGAAUUGGGUAAAGUUGGUUGUGAAUCAAUCAAUUUAUUCGAGGCUGGUUAUCACAGAUCUUUACGAAACUUGAUCAUCGAUUCAAUGAAUAACAAGUAGACUCUAAAAGUACACUUACGUACUAUCAUUACAUUUCGAUUUGAAAGUGAAACAAGCUAAUGCAUUGACUUCGUUGUUAACUUUUUGGCCAAUUAUUCACAAAAAGCGAAGCAUUCUCCAAUGUGCUCUUCUUAAUCGUUCCGAGCCGAGAUUCAAGUCAAGUAAAUGAUUCUUUGUUUACAAUCAAAUGGUCUUGGUUAAAACAAUUAUCAUAGGAUUAAUAAGAAAAGAAGCAACAGAUAACACAGUCGUCGGAUUUAUGAAAAAACAAAAGGAGACAAAGAUACAUGUAUAUUACAUGUAAUGAAACCAUCGGGUGAAACCCGUCCUGGAUAGAUUGUGUUGGUAGAAGAGACUCUUAGCUAGUGAUUAAAGGAGGAGAGAUAUUAAUCCAUAAUAUCGUGCAUCCAUAAAUUAAACUUAUACCCACAGGAUGCCUGCGUAUCAAGAUUUUAUCACCUAUUUUUUAAUCAUUUCUUAGUUUUUAUUCGCUAUUAACCUUCAGUGCUUAUAAGUUUAACUUUCAUUUCUUUCUUAUUGAUUGCUAAAUCUUCUACUUUACUCUUUGCUCUUAACUCGAUUCAACCAAAUGUGUAGAAAGCUUUAUUCGUAUCUUAUAAAAAAAUAAUUGUGCAUAUGUGACAAGGUUUAUCAAAGAUCAAUGUAAUUAAUCCUUGGUGUUUAUCGUAGUUAAAUGGAUAAUUGUCUUACAAAGAAAAAAGUGUUACAGUUUUAGUUGAUUAUGACUUGCAACCAGAAUAAAUCUUCAGUUUAUUCAUGUUAUUCUGUUUUUUUGUGACGUUAUUAUGUUUGGUUUAAUUCUGUUAAUGUAAUUUUUUUUACAAUACAGUGAACUCUUUAAUUUCAAUCAACCAUCUACAAGUCCACCAAUGAUAGCCAAAGAUUUAAAAAACAACAAUUCGAUAAUUUCGUUGUCUCAAUUGAAAGUGCCAAAUACAAAUGAAAUGCUUUUGCAAGUAUUGUCUCCAAGUGAAGAAACGCUCAAAACUUGCUUGUACUCGGAUCAGGAUAAAAACAAAGUCAAUGACAAAACUGACUGUGAUCAGUCCACCAAUUCAUCAAAUAAUGUAAAUUUAACUGUUGAUAGAUUCCACCAUAAAAUUAGCCGCCAAUUUGGAUCAAAGAGAUCAAAACUUGACUAUAUCAACUUAUACGACACGGCAUCAGAAAGUAUUUAUUCUGAUGAUCUUGAUCGAUACGUAAUCAACAUCGUCAAUCACACUAAUCUAAGUCUCUCAGCCUUGAGUCUUAAUGGCUAUGAAAACUCAGAGACAUAUUACCAAUCUUAUGAUGAUUAUCAACCUCUACAGAGAAACUCACAAUUCACCUACAAUGAUUACGUUAAACUGAGAGCAAACAAUUUACUACUCGCCAGACUUGGAUACAAGUUGACAAUCACAUUGAAUACAGACAACGAUAGACCAGAAAUAUGGAACCCAAAAGUAGCCAAGAAAAUAUUAUCCGUUGAUUAUUCACCAUUGAGGUUGGUGAAGAAUUGUUACCCGGCAGAAGCGUCAUUGGACCAAUUUGAAACAUUCCUUUUAGCCGAAGUGGUAAAUGCUUUUCAAGCUGAUGGACCAACUAACUUGCCUGAUUUUGCAAUUAAAUGCAAAACGAAUCCCUCUCCAGUAAGAUUCGUUUCCAUAUGCAGGAAGCUUAGAAGUUUAAAGAACCUUUGUGACAACGAUAAAAUUGUCCUUAUGUGCAGCUCAUUUUAUGAUGUCGCUUUUAUGAAUAUGAUUUUGAAAUACGACCUUUCAACUGAUGAAUGGAUAAACCCAGAUUAUGGGACAAGAUUUGGGAGACGUGAUUUAUUCAUUUGGAAUCGUUUAUUACAUGAUAUGGCUAUUCCCAUUAUUGAAUCAUUUCCAGAUCGAUGGAGAAAGGAUGAAGUGGUUGAAGUUUUGAUUAGUUUGAUUCUUAUUUUCAACCCUGAUCAAGUUGGACUUAACUUUCCCGAUUCAGUUAGACAUGAUCAAUACGUUUACAUUCAUCUGCUUAAGCGCUAUUUGGAGUCAGUUUGCGAAUCACCUUCUGAUGCUUCAGACAAUCUUUACAGGUUAAUGGUGGGCGUUGAAAAAUUCCGGGAACUGGGUAAAGCUGCGUAUCAAUCAAUAAAUUCUUCCCAGCCUGGUUAUCACAGAUCUUUACAGAAAAUUAUUUUCGAUGUUAUUAAAAAGUAAAAAGCUCAAAAUCGCGAUGGAUUCAUCCGAAGACUUGGUGUAUUAAAAGCUCUUGUGUGAGAUCAAACAUUGUAUACACUAUCAUUGCAUUUCAAUUGCGAAUUGAAACAUGAGUUAUGGAAUUGAUUUUAUUGAAAACGGAAAAUCACUCAUAUUUUGGGAGUGAUAGUGUGAUCUUCUGAACUAUUCCAACUCAAGAUUCAAGUUCAAUAAAGCUAGUUAUAGAUAAAUAAUUAAUCAAUAGCGAUGAUUUGUUUUAAAUAAAAUGUUCUUUCUGAAACAAUAAUUAUAAGAUUAACCAGAGAAGCAACACUUAACGCAAUAGACGAGAAAGGUCUGGUUAAUGAAAAAGCAGAUAAAGAUUUAUAGUGAAACUCUGGUGUUGAAUGGAGAAACUCGAUCCAACAAAAUCUACAGAAAAGAUUAUUGAAAUCUUAUCAAAAAAUAACAGCUACAGUGCACAUGCUACAGUGUUUAUCUCGAUUAAAUGGAUGAUUGUUUUACAAAAAUAGGAUUGUUGGUUUUACUUUGUAAUCAAAAUAAAUCUCUAGUUCAUUUAGGUUAUUCUGUUUUUUUGUGACGUUAUUAUAUUUGGUUUACUUGUGUUGUUAUUAAAAUUUUUAUACAAUGGAUUUUAGUGAAUGUUUGAAUUUCUAUCAACCAUCUACAAGUCCACCAAUUAAAGAAGCAGAUUUGGAAAACAACAAUUCCAUAAUUACGUUGUCUCAAUCGAAAGUGUCAAGUAUUGAAAGCAUGCUUUUACAAUUAUUGUCACCAAGUGAAGAUACACUCAAAACUUGCUUGUACUCAGAUCAGGAUAGAAACAAAAAUAACAGUGACUGUGACCAACUCGCCAUUCCAUCGAAUACUGUAAUUUUGAAUGUUGAUAGAUUCCAUCUUAAAACCUGCAGUCGAUUUAGACCAAAGCGAUCAGAACUUGACUACAUCAACUCAUACGACGCGGCAUCAGAGAGUAUUUACUCUGAUACCAUUGAUCAACUCGUGUUCAAUAUCGUCCAUCAAAACAAUCUAAGUCCUGCCAUCUUGGAUAUCAAUGACAAUGAACACUCAGAAACACUUUAUUACCAAUAUUAUGAUGAAUAUCAAGCUUUACAACCCAACCAACACUUCACCUACAAUGAUUACAUCAAACUGAGAGCAAACACUUUACUACUCGCCAGACUUGGAUACAAGCUGACAAUAACAUUGAAUACAGACAACGAUAAACCAGAAACUUGGAAUCCAAAAGUAGCCAAGAAAAUAUUAUCUGUUGAUUAUUCACCAUUGAGUUUAAUAAAGGAUUUCCACACUUCACAAACGCCUUUGGAUCAAUUGGAAACUUUCCUUUUAGCAGAAGUAGUAAAUGCUUUUCAAGAUGAUGAACAAAUUAACUUGCCUGAUAUUUCACUUAAAGUGAAAGCUGCGCCACAAAAAUUUAUUUCAAUUUGCAGGAGGCUCAGAAGCUUCAGAAAACUAUGUAAUAACGAUAAAAUUGUGCUCAUGUCUAGCUCGUUUUAUGAUGUGCAUUCCAUGACUGUCGUUUUCAAUUACUUUCCUGCAACUGAUGAUUGGAUAUAAUUGUUCUUUAUCCAAGAACCCAGAUUGUGGAGCAAGAUUCGGAAGACGUGACUUAUUCAUUUGGAAUCGUUUAGUACAUGAUAUGACUAUUCCCGUUAUUGAAUCAUUCCCGGAUAGAUGGAGAAAGGAUGAAGUAGUUGAAGUUUUGAUUAGUUUGAUUCUUAUUUUCAACCCUGAUCAAGUUGGACUUAACUUUCCCGAUUCAGUCAGACAGGAACAAUACAUUUACAUUUAUCUGCUUAAGCGCUAUUUGGAGUCAGUCUGCCAAUCGCCCUGUGAUGCUUCAGACAAUCUUUACAGAUUAAUGGUGGCUGUUGAAAAAUUUCGGGAAUUGGGCAAAGCUUCGUAUGAAUCAAUCAACUUAUUCGAGCCUGGUUAUCAUAGAUCUUUACGAAACUUGAUCAUUGAUGUAAUGAAUGGCAAGUACAAUGUUGAUUCAAAAAGUGCACUGGAUAAAGUCGAAGACAUGGCAACUUAAAA